UACAACAUAACACUGACAUACACAAUAAAAUACACUAAGGACAAAACAAGAAAUAAGAGAAACCAAACAUAAAAAGACUAAAAAUAAAACAAAGGACAAGAAAGUCAGCACACUAGCAAACCAAAACAUCAGUAGUUACUCGUACAUAAGGAGAGAAACAGAAAGAUACAGUACAAAAGAGAAAUGCACCAGUAGUUACUCAUACAUGAUCAAAAAGAUACAGUACAAAAGAGAAGUGCAUUAGAACAUAACAAGAAAUGAGAGAAACCAAAC